UCACACAUGUAUCCAUGGGGGUCUAUGUGUGGAUGGAAGAAACAACUACUACUGUGAGUACACAGGUAUAUAGAUUCACAGGGACCCUCUAUGUGAUGUUGAUGCUUCUUUGUUGGUCAAAGCUUUGUCACAAUGAUAUCAAAUGAAGACACUGUUGACAGCUAUAUUUGUCACUGCUGACCUGGAUACACAGGUGCCCUGUGUGGGAAGGGUAUAAAUAAGUGCAGUAGCAACACCUGCCAGUUUGCUGAGGAAUAUGCCAAGCAGUCCUCCAAGGAUCAAUUGGGACCACUUCCAGGCCUGCCUUCUUACUUCCUGCCUUUCCUACUUGGAUACUUGGCUAUGUUUGUAUCUUUUGGCCUGGAUUCACAG
rnacentral:lncRNA from 1 species